AGGCGAGUGUGUUCCUCUCGCCCUGUCAAUAAUCUCCGCUCCCAGACUACUCCGUUCCUCCGGAUUUCGAUCCCCCUUUUUCUAUCUGUCAAUCAGCGCCGCCUUUGAACUGAAAAGCUCAGUCUAACUUCAACUCACUCAAAUCCGAGCGGCACGAGCUCCUUCGGUGUCUUCGGCUUCCCCCCCCUUUGCUCUUAUAUCUGACUUCUUGUUGUUGUUGUUUUUUUUUUACCCCCUUUUUUAUUUAUUAUUUUUUUGCACAUUGAUCGGAUCCUUGGGAACGAGAGAAAAAAGAAACCCAAACUCACGCGUGCAGAAGAUCUCCCCCUUCCCCUCCCCUCCUCCCUCUUUUCCCCUCCCCAGGAGAGAAAGACCCCAAAGCAGGAAAAAAAAAGUUAACCUUGGACUGGUCUUUUUCUUGCAAUAUUUUUUUGGGGGGCUCGCAAAACUUUUUUUUUUUUUUUUUUUUUUUUUUUGCUUUUCUUCCUCCUUCAUUUUCUUCCAAAAUUGCUGCUGGUGGGUGAAAAAAAUGCCGCAGCUGAACGGCGGUGGAGGAGAUGACCUAGGCGCUAACGACGAACUGAUCUCCUUCAAAGACGAGGGCGAGCAGGAGGAGAAGAACUCGGAAAACUCCUCGGCAGAGAGGGAUUUAGCCGAUGUCAAGUCGUCGCUGGUCAAUGAAUCAGAGGCGAAUCAAAACAGCUCCUCCGAUUCCGAGGCGGAAAGACGGCCUCCGCCUCGCUCCGAAAGUUUCCGAGAUAAAUCCCGGGAAAGUUUGGAAGAAGCGGCCAAGAGGCAAGAUGGAGGGCUCUUUAAGGGGCCACCGUAUCCCGGCUACCCCUUCAUCAUGAUCCCCGACCUGACGAGCCCCUACCUCCCCAACGGAUCGCUCUCGCCCACCGCCCGAACCUAUCUUCAGAUGAAAUGGCCACUGCUCGACGUUCAAGCAGGAAGCCUCCAGAGCAGACAAGCCCUCAAGGAUGCCCGCUCACCAUCGCCCGCACACAUCGUUUCGAACAAAGUGCCGGUGGUGCAACACCCCCACCAUGUCCACCCACUCACGCCUCUCAUCACCUACAGCAAUGAGCACUUCACCCCGGGAAAUCCACCUCCACACUUACCAGCAGAUGUAGACCCCAAAACUGGAAUCCCACGGCCUCCGCAUCCUCCAGAUAUUUCUCCGUAUUACCCACUGUCGCCCGGCACUGUAGGACAAAUCCCCCAUCCGCUAGGAUGGUUAGUACCACAGCAAGGUCAGCCUGUGUACCCGAUCACGACAGGAGGGUUCAGACACCCCUACCCCACAGCGCUGACAGUCAACGCUUCUAUGUCUAGGUUCCCUCCCCAUAUGGUCCCUCCCCAUCAUACUCUCCACACGACCGGCAUCCCCCAUCCGGCCAUUGUCACACCAACAGUCAAGCAGGAAUCCUCACAGAGUGACGUCGGCUCACUACAUAGCUCAAAGCAUCAGGACUCCAAAAAGGAAGAAGAAAAGAAAAAGCCCCACAUAAAGAAGCCCCUUAAUGCAUUCAUGUUGUAUAUGAAGGAGAUGAGAGCGAAGGUGGUGGCCGAGUGCACACUCAAGGAAAGCGCAGCCAUUAACCAGAUCCUCGGUCGCAGGUGGCAUGCCCUGUCCAGGGAAGAGCAAGCAAAGUACUAUGAGCUGGCCCGGAAGGAACGACAGCUUCACAUGCAGCUGUAUCCCGGCUGGUCCGCGCGGGAUAACUAUGGGAAGAAGAAGAAGAGGAAACGGGACAAGCAGCCGGGUGAGACCAAUGAACACAGCGAAUGUUUCCUAAAUCCUUGCCUUUCACUUCCUCCGAUCACAGACCUGAGCGCUCCUAAGAAAUGCCGAGCGCGCUUUGGCCUUGAUCAACAGAAUAACUGGUGCGGCCCCUGCAGAUGCAAAUACUCCAAAGAAGUGUCGGGCACUGUUCGGGCUUGACCGACAGACUUUAUGGUGCAAACCCUGCAGUCUUUGAAUUUGGAAUAUUAUGAUGGAGAAAAAAAAAGUGCGUUCGCUACAUACAAGGUGAAGGCAGCUGCCUCAGCCCACCCUCUUCAGAUGGAAGCUUACUAGAUUCGCCUCCCACAUCCCCGCAUCUGCUAGGCUCCCCUCCCCAAGACACCAAGUCACAGACUGAGCAGACACAGCCACUCUCUCUCUCCCUGAAGCCCGACCCUCUGGCCCACCUGUCCAUGAUGCCACCGCCACCUGCGCUCCUGCUGGCUGAAGCUGCCCACGGCAAGGCCUCCGCCCUCUGUCCCAACGGGGCCCUGGACCUGCCACCCGCUGCCCUGCAGCCACCCAUGGUCCCCUCCUCUUCGCUCGCACAGCCGUCAACAUCUUCCUUACAUUCCCACAACUCUCUGGCUGGGACCCAGCCCCAGCCUCUGUCUCUGGUGACCAAGUCUUUAGAAUAGCUACACCUCGUCCACCGUCCCCUGCUUGAUUGACGUGUUUCCUUCCGGUCCUUGGUUUGCCCCUUCCCCGCCUGGAAAGCUUUUGUUUUGUACUCUUAAUUUUGUGCCACUGUGGCUACAUGAGUUGAUGUUUAUCGAGUUCAUUGGUCAAUAUUUGACCCAUUCUUAUUUCACUUUCUCCUUUUAAAUAUGUAGAUGAGAGAAACCUCAUGAUUCUACCAAAAUUUUUAUCAACAGCUGUUUAAAGUCUUUGUAGCGUUUAAAAAAAAAAAUAUAUAUAUAUAUAUAUACAUAACUGUUAUGUAGUUUAGAUAGCUUAGUUUUAAAAGACUGAUUAAAAAGUGAAAAGAAAAAAGAGAGAGAAGCAGUUUGGAAGCACCCUCCAGAAGGAGUUGGUUCUGUAUUAUUUGUAUUAAAUACGAGCUUGCGAGCCAAUCACUUUACAUCUCGGUUUUUAAACCACAAGGGCACGAUGGAUGCAGUGCCGUUUCUUUCUUUUUCUUUCUUUCUUUUUUUUUUCUGUGUGAAACAACUUUUAUUGUGAUGUUACUUGUUAUUGUUUAAAUGUACAGAAACAAAGGGUUAAAAUGUGUUAAUAUACCUUGUUCCAUGGUGUUGUUCUUUUGGGGGGAGGGGGACGCUACUCAACAUGAAUGGAAUCAAUGCUGUUGGACCAGUAGUAUUUAUUGUUUAGAGGUUGCUUGUACCUGAACGUCCGUCCCUUUUUAAGUAUGUUUUUCUUUUUUUUUCUUGAAGCUGUAUAAAGUCCCUCCCCCUUAGCAUAAGCAUCUUAUAUAUAACAACUCAUUUGUACAAGGUUUUUAAGUUUAUAUAUAAAAUGUGUAUAUAUUUUUUUGUUUCCUUUUUUGGCUUUUGUUUGUUUGUUUGUUUGUUUCUGUGUAAAACCCAGAUGCCACCAAAUGGACAAUAAUAGUUGCAUUAAGGAUCGGUAGCAUUAACAAAAGUUGCUUUAAAAGCCAUUAUGUAAAACAAGACUUGAACAUUAGUGAGAGAAUCUUAGCAGCUGUCUGAGCAGCCUUGGGAACCACCCUGUCGUCCCCCCCCCACGACCUCCUAGUCAAUUGCCCUGUGCUCUUAGAACAUGGACUGACCGUGUGCAAAACUUUUAUGUGCCAAAAUUCUCAGUGACUUUAGCUUUCUCCCUCUCUUUUGAUGCUGUACUUUCUGUUCGCCAUGUUUUGCUGUGAUGUUACAUAGAUAGAUUUGUAUGUGGUUUUAAUGUCACCUAUAACAAAAUGUGUUUGGUAGCAGACUGUCCAGAAAGCAUUUUAAAUGAAGAGGUCUAAACCCUUAAGGGCCAAAAAUUCUGUAUAUUAGAUUACUCUUAAAUGAAAAAAAAAAAAAGAAAAAAAAAACCAGCUGCCGCUUUUAUGUACACAUAUUA